CAACUACUCCCUCUGUCCCAAAUUUCUUGUCUUAGAUUAGUCUAGAUACGGAUGUAUCUAAUACUAAAAUGUGACUUGAUACAUCCGUAUCUAGACAAAUCUAAGACAAGAAUUUUAGGACGGAGGGAGUACUUU
rnacentral:pre_miRNA from 1 species